AUCAAACAAGCAAAAAAACUAGUAUAUAUAUUUGCUAUCAUAUGGUAAAAGUACUAAGGAAGUCCUUGUACUUGGGGAAAGAUUGUAUUUCGGCCCCUCAAUUAAAAAAAUAGAUAAAUUAGUUCUUUUACAUUUUAAAAUGUGUAAAUUAGUCCCUCCAUUAAAUUUUAUCUAUCAAAUGAUGACAAAGACAUGCUAAAAAUUAUUUUUUAUGGGUAAAACUAUAAAAAUGGUCACCCAACUAUGCCUUUUGUUUUAUUUUGAUCUCCCAACUAUUAAUUUUUUUAUUUAGUCAGUAAGCUUUUCAAAAUUGAAUACUUUAGUCACUCUAAGCUAAUGUGGGUUUUUUAUUGGUCUAGUAACAAAAUUAGCCCAUAAUAUUUACACAUUCUAUCAAUUUGAUCCUAAAUAUAAAAAAUAAUAAUAAAUUUAGCCCUCAAUAUAAACAAAAUUUGUCAUUUUAGUUCUAAUUCUAAAAUAUUUAAUAAAUUUGGCCCUCAAAAUUUACAAAAUCUAUCAAUUUAGUCCUAAAUCUAAAAAUUAAAAUUAAAAAAAAUCAUUUUCAGCUCUGUAUAACCCAUUGGCUAACCUAUGUGAGAUAUUAAAAUAAGAAAAAGACUACACUCUUUCAAGUCACUUGCAAAAGAACCCUAACAGAUGACAUUAAGUCUAGAUUGAUAGAUUUUGUAAAUGUUGAGGGUCAAAUUUAUUGAAUUUUUUAGCAUUAGAACUAAAAUGACAAAUUUUGUAAACAUUGAGGGCUAAAUUUGUUGAUUUUUUUAUAUUUAGGAUCAAAUUGAUAGAAUGUGUAAAUAUAUGAGGGCUAAUUUUGUUACUAGACCAAUAAAAAAAUUGUUUCGAUACAGCUGCUAGAGCUGUACCAAAUCGAAGCAAACUCUCAAUACUAGAUAUGACCUCAAAAUAGCAGGGGUCGAGGUCGGCCAAUGAGACAAUGGUGGAUAAGCUUCAUAGUCGAGAGGGAAACAACCCAAAUCACCAACUAAGGCCCCUAAAUGACCACUCAGUGAUAAAUGAGGUAAGGUCCAGAGACAACCAGGAGGUUUGCCUAGAAGCAACCACUCUUGGAAGAGAGUAAUAGCUCACUGAUCGAGUGCUCCUACGCUGAAGAUGAACGGGACUAAGCUAUCUGUCGAAGCUGUGGGAUGUAAAAAUGUAUCAGCAGGGGAGCGUUCCACCUUAGGAGAAAGCACCCGCGUGAGCGGGAGUAGACAAAGCGGAAGCGAGAAUGUCGACUUGAGUAAUGCAAACAUUAGUGAGAAUCUAAUACCCCGAAAACCCAAGGGUUCCUCCGGAAGGUUCAUCUACGUAGAGUGAUUCAGGGCUUAAGAUCAGGCCAAAAGGCGUAGUCAAUGGAAAAUAGGUGAAUAUUUCUAUACUACCCCUUGUUGGUCUCGAGGGACGAAGGAGGCUAGGUUAGCCAAAAAAUGGUUAUUGGUUCAAGGACACAAUGUUUCCCUACUUUUUCAGGGUAAGAAGGGGUAGAGAAAAUGCCACGAUCCAAUGUUCGAGUACCAAGCACUUCGGCGUUGAAGUAAUCCAUACUAUACUCCUAGGAAAAGCUCGAACGACCUUCAACAAAAGGGUACCUAUACCCGGAAUCGACACAAACGGGUAGGUAGAGAUACCUAGGGCCAAAAGACAACUCUCUCUAAGAAACUCGACAAAAUAGCCCUGUAACUUCGGGAGAAGGGAUGCCUCCUCAUAAAGGGGGUCACAGUGAUUAGGCCUGGGUGACUGUUUACCAAAAACACAGGUCUCUACAAAGUCAUAAGACCAUGUAUGGCGGCUGAUGCUUGGCCAAUGCCGGAAGGUUAAGGAAGUUGGUGACCUGAUGACAGGGGAGCUGGCGACUGAAACCCUGGAGAACGACGGUCGUAACUAUAAUGGUCCUAAGGUAGUAAAAUUCCUUGUCGAGUAAGUUUCAACCCACACGAAAGGCAUAAUGAUCUGCUCACUGUCUCGGAGAGAGGCUCAGUGAAAUAGACCUGUCUGUAAAGAUGCGGGCUACCUGCACUUGGACAGAAUGACCCUGUGAAGCUUCACUGUUCCCUAGGAUUGGCUUUGGGCUUUUCCUGUGCAGCUUAGGUGGAAGGCGAAGAAGGCCUCCUUCUGAGGGGCUCGAGCCAUUAGUGAGAUACCACUCUAGAAGAGCUAGAAUUCUAACAUUGUGUCAGAACCUACGGGCCAAUGGAAAGUCUCAGAUAAACAGUUUCUAUAGGGCAUAGGCCUCUCAAAAGGUAAUGGAGGUGUGUAAAGGUUUCUUCAGGCCGAACGGAGAUUGGCCUUCGAGUGCAAAGGAAAAAGGGAGCUUGAUUGCCAGACCCACCCAUAAAGUAGGGACGGAAGUCAGCCUUAGUGAUCCGACGGUGCCGAGUGGAAGGUUUGUUGCUCAACGGAUAAAAGUUACUCUAGGGAUAACAUGCUGAUCUUCCCCAAGAGCUCAUAUUGACAGAAAGGUUUGGCACCUUGAUGUCGGCUCUUCGCCACUUGGGGUUGUCGUAUGUUCCAAGGGUUGGGUUGUUCUCCCAUUAAAGCGGUAUAUGAGCUGGGUUUAAAACAUCGUGAGAUAGUUCAGUCCAUAUCUGGUGUGGGCGUUAGAGCAUUAAGAUGACCUUUCUUUAGUACAAGAGGAUCGGGAAGGAUGCACCUCUAAUGUACCAAUUAUCGUGCUCACGAUAAACGUUGGGUAGCACUUGUUGUUCCUCUACGCCUAGGACACUAGAAUAUUUAACCAUGAAUGAAAAAAGCCGUACGUGAAAAGGAAAAGAAUAUUGGCUAGUGAUUAUGAGGCCCCAAUUCUUAAUUGGAAGAGACACCAAAGGCCUCCGCCCUUUCCAUCCCAUGGAUAGAUAGAGAGGGAGGGAAGAGCUU
rnacentral:rRNA from 1 species